rnacentral:rRNA from 1 species
UACGAGGGGGGCGAGCGUUGUUCGGAAUUACUGGGCGUAAAGGGCUCGUAGGCGGCCAACUAAGUCAGACGUGAAAUCCCUCGGCUUAACCGGGGAACUGCGUCUGAUACUGGAUGGCUUGAGUUUGGGAGAGGGAUGCGGAAUUCCAGGUGUAGCGGUGAAAUGCGUAGAUAUCUGGAGGAACACCGGUGGCGAAGGCGGCAUCCUGGACCAACACUGACGCUGAGGAGCGAAAGCCAGGGGAGCGAACGGG